CCACCGCAUCAAAGAAGUGUUCGGGGUGGUGGGGGGUGACUCACGCCACGGCGCCUCCUUUCCAAGGUUUUGGCUGCUGCUGCUGCAGCAACAGCUGCGGCUCGCUCUCUCCCUUUCUUUGUCACGGCGCUGGGUGGCCAUAAUUCGCUUCCUCCACUUCGCCCAUCAUCACGGAAACGUACGACAACUAACAAGCAGAUAAACAACGAAUAAAGCGCACACGAUUACCGUCAUUACCCGCCAUCAUCGCUGCCACUACCUCAUAGGCAAAGCCGAGCACAGCACUCUCGAAGGAGCAGACUAGGUCACAUGCUCACUCGACGACUUAUAACGCAGCGCCGCCUUCGCAAGGCGUGCCGUGGGGGGCUCGACGGGCUCGCCGGCGCACCUGUUGCUUCGUGUAGCUCUUUGCAAUGGUACAGCACCGGCGCCUGCGCUCGCUCCCCACACAACAAAGGUGCCGGCUUCCCCACCACUGCUCUCCGGUGUGUCUUGAGUCACUACGACGCGUGCCGUGCCCCCAUCGUGACCGCUUCGCCGAUACGAUCGAGUUCGACCUUCAGUUGCGCCUUGUGUGGGAGCUGGCGGCACGCCUCCAACACCGCCCGCAGCGGCGGCAAAGACAUGGACAUCGUGGAUCAGGAGAAGCCGAUUCACAUCCGUGUUGCGGAGCAGAGGGAUAGCCAAAUUUACACGUACAGCGAGUACGUUGAGAAGCACGAGUUGGAGGAGCGAGCGGGGCGGACGAUAAGCGAGGCCGUGGAUGAGAUGCGCGACAACCCCGUGUGGAUGCUGUGGGCGCUGGGAUUUCUGACGCUCGGUGUCGUGACCGUCGUCAUAUCGAUUCGGAUACGCCGGGAACAGAUGCGCUUUGACCCAAAACUGCGCGCGGUGAAAUCCUUCGACAGCCCAGAGGGGCCCAGCAUCGGUGGGCCGUUCAGCUUGGUGGACGUCAGGACGGGAAAGCGUGUCACGGAUGUGGACAUGAAGGGCAAGUGGCUGUACAUAUACUUUGGGUUCACGAACUGCCCUGACGUGUGCCCGGAGGAGAUGGCGAAGAUGGCCCGCGUCAUCAAGCACCUCGACAAGAAGGUCGGAAAAGACUACUGGCAGCCCAUCUUUAUCUCCCUCGACCCGAAGCGCGACACGCCGGCGAAGAUACGAGAGUACUUGAGCGACUUCUCGCCACGCAUCAUGGGCCUGGUGGGGACGCAGGCCGAGGUCGAGGCGGCGGCCCGGCAGUACCGCGUCUACUUCGCCAUCCCAGAUGAGGAGGCCAUGUCCGAGGACGACUACCUGGUGGACCAUUCCAUCAUCAUGUACCUCAUCGACCCCGAGGGGCGCUUCUCCGACUACACCACGAAGGAGUUCCAGUGGUUUGAGAGCUACAGCAAGCUGCUGCGCCGCAUGAUGGACUACGAGCGGCAUAAAGCGACAGUGGAGCAGCAGCGUGCGCAGCGCGGUGAGGCCCCGCUGGCAGAUGGAGAGGCACCUGCCAACUUGGAGAUUGCGAAUUUGGCGUCGAUGCUCGACAACGCCGAAGCCAAGGCGAUGGAGGAGGAGGCGCUGCAUCAUCAGCCGAAGGGUUUGUCGUCGCUUCGAUCAUGAGCCCAUCAAGCACGUCAGCAACUCCCCCCUCCCCCCAAAAGGAAGAGGGCAAACCUUUGCUAAACUGGCAGACAAAUCUACACGAACGUGGUGCGUUGAUGCGGAUGAGACGAAUCAAAUUGAGUGCCCUCAAAGAUGCACUGCGCGCCAUUCGCACGUGCGCUUGUUGCGUGUGUGCCGUGUCAGAGGUGGAUGCGUUGCCGCCAUCUCAUCGCACGUGAUGACGAAAACC
rnacentral:misc_RNA from 1 species